GUUCGCAAUAGGUCUGGGCGGGGGGAAGAAAGGGGAGAUAAAAGGGAGGGAGGGACGAGAGGGGGGAAGAGAAUCAGAAGGAAAACGAAGGGGGAAACAUGAAAAAUAGCAACCUGCCCACCCCACCUAGUACGCGUCGGGUUGCUCACCCCCUUACCCCCGCCCCGCCAGAGAUUUGUAAAGCGCGCGGCACGGAUGUACCAUUCAAGCUAAUACCUAUAGACAGAUGUGUCCCCAGUGGUUUCAAAGUUUCCUCUUCCCUUCACCAGCCGGCCCCCUUCUCUGAUCGGCGGGGGUGGGAAGCGGGGGCUCGCAUCGCCAAGAGCUCUGGUCGUGGCCACGCUCCUUGGAAAUCCGCCACCGCAACUUUCCGCAGCCGUUGCGCGCCGGCGGCAGCCCCCUUUGUUUAAGUUCUCGGAUGCCAUCAUCUGGGAAACCUGCAGCCCAGGACCAGCGCGGUGCCCGCGCGUGCGAGACGGACCGCUCGCUGCCGCCGCUCCCUGGCUCCUCCACCCCCUCUCUCCCUCCUUCGCUCUCCCUCCCUUCCUCCCUCCUCCCUCCUCUGGGAUUCGUGCAAGUAGCGUGCGUGCCCUUGUGAGUUUGGAGGGUGCCGGUCAGCGGAGCCGUGCGAUGUAUUUGAAAAGCAAUCAGUCCGACCUUCCCCCAUAGAUUCAUCCUGCCUGAAAAUCAUAUGCGUGGUUUUUCCUGUUUCCUGCUCUGUAGCUGACAUCAGGGGAGCAACGUGAACACAGGAAAAUGGAAAUCAACAUUUGAAACUUUUAAAUGGAAGCUUUAUUGGGGUUCCACAUAUGGAAAACUGCAAAUAGCAGAAGUAUGUGACUCAAUAAAUUAUUCUGGAGUGACCACAUCCUCUAACUGCCUCCCAGGACAAGACGGAGAAUGUGAACAAUGCUCCUGAAGGCCCCUUUCCCUCAAAGAAUCACUGCAAUUGAAGGAAAAAUGCUCCAUGUCCCCUCUGCCAGUUGGUGUUUAUCAAAGGACAACGGAGGAAGAGAGACAAAGUGCCUGGAUGUGUGUGUUAAUCAAGAGUUGUCAGGACCCUGCCUCUAAAAGAAAGCGCUAAAAUGAUGCUUUUGACAAGACUUUUCUCAAAGUGGAUGCAGUCUAAGGGUUGGAAAACAAGGCCCAAUCAGGCUAGGUCUGACUUGUCGCCUGCUUUUGUAAAUAAAGUUUUAUUGGCU
rnacentral:lncRNA from 10 species